ensembl:lncRNA
GUCUGUGUAUAAGGCAUUUUUAUGCAUAUAUUUAAAGAAAACAACAUUUCAAAAUAGCAAUGAGUGCGUUUUGAAAACAAGAUGUUUUGAGACGUCAACCUCCUAGUAAAGCAUAGUAGUUGGCAUUGAGAUAAUUUAAAAACAAAGACACUUGCACAGACAAAUAUGAAUGACUCUAAGUUGAAAUGUAUUAACCACCAGUAGUUAUUUUUUCAAGGACAGUAUCUGGAAGAGCAUCAGACACUAGUGAGAAGUCCUUAUUCACUGUAAAAGAAGGUAGGUCUGUUGCAACAAUGGGGAAGAAACAACUGCAUCUUAGUAGAGCCCUCACCAUCUACCCAUGCAUACUGGAAGCAGAGUUUAUCCCACGGGACAAAUUUAUGAACUGGGAAGAUUCUUUAAGAUAAGAUUUUGCCGCAUUGCUUAUGUUAGCAAAUGUAAGAUAUAGCUAUAAAAUCAAUGCCCUUAUUUUAAAAUUGAGAAAUACUAAAAUUAUUUUUUCAAGUUAUUUCACUUUAUUUCAAGAAAAAUAUGAAUUCUUUACUCAAAGCAGAGCAACGGAAGUCAAUUUUUGUUUUGAAAAAUAAAUCCCCAACACAACUCAGCUUUUAUUAUUAGUUCUCAUGCUGGCUCAUAUGCCGAUCAACCUGAAGCUUUUGAAAUACAAAAACAGGAGCUCAAUGAGGAGACAGAGUUGAUAUCCCACCAAUGGCUUGACAUGAUUACAUGAGACCAUGUACUUAGAAACCAAAUAUGUGUUUCAGCAAACAUUUCUGGUUGAAGGAUUGGCUGACAAACAUGUCGGGAUGUUUAGACUUUUGUUCCCCAAACUUCAAAGUUGUAAUUAAAAGAAUAGAAAAAGCCUCAAGGCUUCAUUAUUACUAUUAUUAGUUUUGUCCAUUAAAAGUAGCAUUCUGAAAAAAUGCUGUUCAUAGGCACAGGUGUUUACAAACAGUGCAGUCUCCUUAGAGGUUCAUCUGAUUUUCACUCUCUAGAUUCUAGUCUGGAAGACCUAUUACUUUCAAUCAACCUAUUUGUAAAGAUCUAAUAUUUUAUUAUUUACAGAAUAAUGCCAUAAGGCACAUAUUUCAUAGCUGAUGUUCAAUAUAGUGUAUAUAUUGUAUGUUCAUGACUGGAUUCUAUUUUUUACAAAACUGAGCUAAAAUUCCUUAGAUUGACUGUUUGUAAGAAAGACUCAUUACCACAUGAACGAGAAUCUAACUUUUUUGAAAAUGGCUAAAUAGUGCCAUUAUGUUUAGAUGAAAGGAAACAAGAUACUUCUGUGAAGAAUAUCCAGGUCAUCUCUAUUUUUGUUUAAAAUCUCUUUCACAUAUUUUGUCAGUUACAUACUACACAUCUAUUAUAAUAUUUGGAAACUUUUCCUUGGGUUGUUUUGGAAUUAAAAGUAGAACAAUAAUUCAGGUAAUCCAGGUAAAUGUUUGUUUCACAGUUAUAUAACUUAGCCAUGUCCUGUUCACAUAUUCUAUAAGAAAAGUGCCUACGUAUAUUUUAAUGUAUGAAAAUAGGCUCCAAUUAAAUGAAAGAACAGCAAUAGCCUGACAAAGCUUGCCUUUGUACCUGGAUUCUACUAAAAAGGAAAAUCAAUCAAGUGAUCACUAUUGAGUGAUAGUUUCUGAUUUUAUAUUGCAAAUAUGUCUAUACAUAUUUAGAUCUAAUGUGAACAGAAAUUCAGGAAGGAGCCAGUUGCUUUUCUUUUCUUUUUACUGAGACAGAGUCUUGCUUUGUCACCCAGGCUAGAGUGCAGUGGCAUGAUCUUGGCUCACUGCCAACUGCCACCACCUGGGUUCAAGCAAUUCUCCUGCCUCAGCCUCUCGAGUAGCUGCGAUUGCAGGUGUCUGCCACCAGGCCCAGCUAAUUUUCUUUCUUUCUUUUUUUUUUUUUUGUAUUUUUAGUAGAAACAGAGUUUUGCCAUCU